GGUUAAGCGACUAAGCGUACACGGUGGAUGCCCUGGCAGUCAGAGGCGAUGAAGGACGUGCUAAUCUGCGAUAAGCGUCGGUAAGGUGAUAUGAACCGUUAUAACCGGCGAUUUCCGAAUGGGGAAACCCAGUGUGUUUCGACACACUAUCAUUAACUGAAUCCAUAGGUUAAUGAGGCGAACCGGGGGAACUGAAACAUCUAAGUACCCCGAGGAAAAGAAAUCAACCGAGAUUCCCCCAGUAGCGGCGAGCGAACGGGGAGCAGCCCAGAGCCUGAAUCAGUGUGUGUGUUAGUGGAAGCGUCUGGAAAGGCGCGCGAUACAGGGUGACAGCCCCGUACACAAAAAUGCACAUACUGUGAGCUCGAUGAGUAGGGCGGGACACGUGGUAUCCUGUCUGAAUAUGGGGGGACCAUCCUCCAAGGCUAAAUACUCCUGACUGACCGAUAGUGAACCAGUACCGUGAGGGAAAGGCGAAAAGAACCCCGGCGAGGGGAGUGAAAAAGAACCUGAAACCGUGUACGUACAAGCAGUGGGAGCACGCUUAGGCGUGUGACUGCGUACCUUUUGUAUAAUGGGUCAGCGACUUAUAUUCUGUAGCAAGGUUAACCGAAUAGGGGAGCCGAAGGGAAACCGAGUCUUAACUGGGCGUUAAGUUGCAGGGUAUAGACCCGAAACCCGGUGAUCUAGCCAUGGGCAGGUUGAAGGUUGGGUAACACUAACUGGAGGACCGAACCGACUAAUGUUGAAAAAUUAGCGGAUGACUUGUGGCUGGGGGUGAAAGGCCAAUCAAACCGGGAGAUAGCUGGUUCUCCCCGAAAGCUAUUUAGGUAGCGCCUCGUGAAUUCAUCUCCGGGGGUAGAGCACUGUUUCGGCAAGGGGGUCAUCCCGACUUACCAACCCGAUGCAAACUGCGAAUACCGGAGAAUGUUAUCACGGGAGACACACGGCGGGUGCUAACGUCCGUCGUGAAGAGGGAAACAACCCAGACCGCCAGCUAAGGUCCCAAAGUCAUGGUUAAGUGGGAAACGAUGUGGGAAGGCCCAGACAGCCAGGAUGUUGGCUUAGAAGCAGCCAUCAUUUAAAGAAAGCGUAAUAGCUCACUGGUCGAGUCGGCCUGCGCGGAAGAUGUAACGGGGCUAAACCAUGCACCGAAGCUGCGGCAGCGACGCUUAUGCGUUGUUGGGUAGGGGAGCGUUCUGUAAGCCUGCGAAGGUGUGCUGUGAGGCAUGCUGGAGGUAUCAGAAGUGCGAAUGCUGACAUAAGUAACGAUAAAGCGGGUGAAAAGCCCGCUCGCCGGAAGACCAAGGGUUCCUGUCCAACGUUAAUCGGGGCAGGGUGAGUCGACCCCUAAGGCGAGGCCGAAAGGCGUAGUCGAUGGGAAACAGGUUAAUAUUCCUGUACUUGGUGUUACUGCGAAGGGGGGACGGAGAAGGCUAUGUUGGCCGGGCGACGGUUGUCCCGGUUUAAGCGUGUAGGCUGGUUUUCCAGGCAAAUCCGGAAAAUCAAGGCUGAGGCGUGAUGACGAGGCACUACGGUGCUGAAGCAACAAAUGCCCUGCUUCCAGGAAAAGCCUCUAAGCAUCAGGUAACAUCAAAUCGUACCCCAAACCGACACAGGUGGUCAGGUAGAGAAUACCAAGGCGCUUGAGAGAACUCGGGUGAAGGAACUAGGCAAAAUGGUGCCGUAACUUCGGGAGAAGGCACGCUGAUAUGUAGGUGAAGUCCCUCGCGGAUGGAGCUGAAAUCAGUCGAAGAUACCAGCUGGCUGCAACUGUUUAUUAAAAACACAGCACUGUGCAAACACGAAAGUGGACGUAUACGGUGUGACGCCUGCCCGGUGCCGGAAGGUUAAUUGAUGGGGUUAGCGCAAGCGAAGCUCUUGAUCGAAGCCCCGGUAAACGGCGGCCGUAACUAUAACGGUCCUAAGGUAGCGAAAUUCCUUGUCGGGUAAGUUCCGACCUGCACGAAUGGCGUAAUGAUGGCCAGGCUGUCUCCACCCGAGACUCAGUGAAAUUGAACUCGCUGUGAAGAUGCAGUGUACCCGCGGCAAGACGGAAAGACCCCGUGAACCUUUACUAUAGCUUGACACUGAACAUUGAGCCUUGAUGUGUAGGAUAGGUGGGAGGCUUUGAAGUGUGGACGCCAGUCUGCAUGGAGCCGACCUUGAAAUACCACCCUUUAAUGUUUGAUGUUCUAACGUGGACCCGUAAUCCGGGUUGCGGACAGUGUCUGGUGGGUAGUUUGACUGGGGCGGUCUCCUCCUAAAGAGUAACGGAGGAGCACGAAGGUUGGCUAAUCCUGGUCGGACAUCAGGAGGUUAGUGCAAUGGCAUAAGCCAGCUUGACUGCGAGCGUGACGGCGCGAGCAGGUGCGAAAGCAGGUCAUAGUGAUCCGGUGGUUCUGAAUGGAAGGGCCAUCGCUCAACGGAUAAAAGGUACUCCGGGGAUAACAGGCUGAUACCGCCCAAGAGUUCAUAUCGACGGCGGUGUUUGGCACCUCGAUGUCGGCUCAUCACAUCCUGGGGCUGAAGUAGGUCCCAAGGGUAUGGCUGUUCGCCAUUUAAAGUGGUACGCGAGCUGGGUUUAGAACGUCGUGAGACAGUUCGGUCCCUAUCUGCCGUGGGCGCUGGAGAACUGAGGGGGGCUGCUCCUAGUACGAGAGGACCGGAGUGGACGCAUCACUGGUGUUCGGGUUGUCAUGCCAAUGGCACUGCCCGGUAGCUAAAUGCGGAAGAGAUAAGUGCUGAAAGCAUCUAAGCACGAAACUUGCCCCGAGAUGAGUUCUCCCUGACUCCUUGAGAGUCCUGAAGGAACGUUGAAGACGACGACGUUGAUAGGCCGGGUGUGUAAGCGCAGCGAUGCGUUGAGCUAACCGGUACUAAUGAACCGUGAGGCUUAACCUU
rnacentral:rRNA from 1 species